rnacentral:rRNA from 1 species
AUUGAACGCUGGCGGCGUGCCUAACACAUGCAAGUCGAGCGGUAACAGGUGUAGCAAUACAUGCUGACGAGCGGCGGACGGGUGAGUAACGCUUGGGAAUCUGCCUAUUAGUGGGGGACAACCCGGGGAAACUCGGGCUAAUACCGCAUACGCACUACGGUGGAAAGCCGGGGACCGCAAGGCCUGGCGCUAACAGAUGAGCCCAAGUCGGAUUAGCUAGUUGGUAGGGUAACGGCCUACCAAGGCGACGAUCCGUAACUGGUCUGAGAGGACGACCAGUCACACCGGAACUGAGACACGGUCCGGACUCCUACGGGAGGCAGCAGUGGGGAAUAUUGGACAAUGGGCGAAAGCCUGAUCCAGCGACGCCGCGUGGGUGAAGAAGGCCUGCGGGUUGUAAAGCCCUUUCAGUGGGGAAGAAAAGCCUCGAGCUAACACCUCGGGGUCUUGACGUAACCCAUAGAAGAAGCACCGGCUAACUCUGUGCCAGCAGCCGC